rnacentral:tRNA from 1 species
GCCCUUGUAGCUCAGUCGGUAGAGCAGCUGCCUUUUAAGCAGAAGGUCGCAGGUUCGAUCCCUGCCGGGGGCA